UACGUAGGGGGCUAGCGUUGUCCGGAAUCAUUGGGCGUAAAGAGCGUGUAGGCGGCUCGAUAAGUCCGCUGUGAAAGUCCAGGGCUCAACCCUGGGAUGCCGGUGGAUACUGUCGGGCUCGAGUCCGGAAGAGGCGAGUGGAAUUCCUGGUGUAGCGGUGAAAUGCGCAGAUAUCAGGAGGAACACCAAUGGCGAAGGCAGCUCGCUGGGACGUGACUGACGCUGAGGAGCGAAAGCGUGGGGAGCGAACAGG
rnacentral:rRNA from 1 species